CCUCUGCUGCUUGGUCAGCUCUCAGGACUGAGGCCUGAGGUCGGAGCCCCAGCACAGCCUCCAGGUCCUCUCUGCCAGGGGCUCGUGGACCUUGAUGCACAGGUCUCCAUGGUGGGAGGCUCACUUCCUACCUGGCUCCUUCCUUGGGUUGAGCUGGGAUCCUCAUCUUCUGAGAGUUGGUCUUUGGCUGCUAAACGUGCCCAACCUGGGCAUCUUUCUCACCAGGAAGGGGUGUCAUUCAAGGGGGAUUGAAGCAACAGCUACAGCUCCCACCUCACAGCCCAUGUCUCCCCUUCCCCAGGAGUGCAGAAGCCUAAGGAACUUCUCCUCCCUGCACGCCAUCCUAGCUGCUCUGCAGAGCAUGUCUGUCCAUCGUCUGAAGAAAACAUGGGGGAAAGUUUCCAGGAAGCGGACACUGACAAUGAAAAAC